UACGUAGGUGACAAGCGUUGUCCGGAUUUACUGGGCGUAAAGAGCGCGCAGGCGGUCGUUCAAGUCGAGUGUGAAAGCCCCCGGCUCAACUGGGGAGGGUCACUCGAUACUGAUCGACUCGAAGGCAGGAGAGGGUAGUGGAAUUCCCGGUGUAGUGGUGAAAUGCGUAGAUAUCGGGAGGAACACCAGUGGCGAAGGCGGGUCUCUGGACAGUUCCUGACGCUGAGGCACGAAGGUCAGGGGAGCAAACGGG
rnacentral:rRNA from 1 species